rnacentral:ncRNA from 1 species
CAAAGGCUUGGUCCUGGCUUUACUGUCAGCUCUAGCUAUACUUACACAUGCAAGUAUCCGCGCCCCGGUGAGGAUGCCCUUAAUUCCCCUGCCCGGGGAUAAGGAGCUGGUAUCAGGCACACAUUCUUUAGCCCACGACACCUUGCUUAGCCACACCCCCAAGGGACCCCAGCAGUGAUAAAUCUUAAGCUAUAAGUGAAAACUUGACUUAGUUAAAGCUAAUUAGAGCCGGUAAACUUCGUGCCAGCCACCGCGGUUAGACGAAUGGCUCAAGUUGACAAAAUACGGCGUAAAGAGUGGUUAGGGAAUACUAAAACUAAAGCUGAAUACCUUCCAAGCUGUUAUACGCUUAUGAAGCGAAUGAAGCCCAACUACGAAAGUGGCUUUAUUACACCUGAACCCACGAAAGCUAAGAAACAAACUGGGAUUAGAUACCCCACUAUGCUUAGCCUUAAACAUUGAUCAUUUAUUACAUAAAACAUCCGCCUGGAAAUUACGAACGUCAGUUUAAAACCCAAAGGACUUGGCGGUGCUUAACAUCCACCUAGAGGAGCCUGUCCUAUAACCGAUAACCCCCGUUCAACCUCACCUUUUCUUGUAAUUUCAGCCUAUAUACCACCGUCGCCAGCUUACCCUGUGAAGGAUUAGUAGUAAGCACAAUUGGCAAUGCCCAGUACGUCAGGUCGAGGUGUAGCAUAUGAAAAGGGAAGAGAUGGGCUACAUUCGCUAAAAAUAGUGAAUACGAAUAAUACAUUGAAACAUGUAUCUGAAGGAGGAUUUAGCAGUAAGUUGGAAAUAGAGUGUCCCACUGAAGCCGGCUCUUAAGCGUGCACAUACCGCCCGUCACCCUCACCGAGCCCCACUUGUUUAUUUAACUAAACCAACAUAUUUUUAUGCUAAGGAGAGGAAAGUCGUAACAUGGUAAGCGUACCGGAAGGUGUGCUUGGAUAAUC